UUCCAGGGUAGCAAUAUUCUGGAGUUGGAGCGGCGCAAGGGUGCGUAACACGUGGGUAAUCUGCCAUGAAGUUCGGGAUAACUUGCUGAAAGGCGAGCUAAUACCGGAUGUGACAACUGGAAGGCAUCUUUUGGUUGUUAAAGUUGGGGACCGUAAGGCCUGACGCUUCUUGAUGAACCCGCGGCCUAUCAGCUAGUUGGUGAGGUAACGGCUCACCAAGGCUAAGACGGGUAGCUGGUCUGAGAGGACGACCAGCCACACUGGAACUGAGACACGGUCCAGACACCUACGGGUGGCAGCAGUCGAGAAUUUUUCACAAUGGGCGCAAGCCUGAUGGAGCGACGCCGCGUGGGGGAUGAAUGGCUUCGGCCCGUAAACCCCUGUCAUUUGCGAUCAAACCUCAUUAUUUAAAAGAUGAUGAGCUGAUAGUAGCGAAAGAGGAAGGGACGGCUAACUCUGUGCCAGCAGCCGCGGUAAUACAGAGGUCCCAAGCGUUGUUCGGAUUCACUGGGCGUAAAGGGUGCGUAGGUGGUGAGGUAAGUCGGAUGUGAAAGCUCGGAGCUCAACUCCGAAAUGGCAUUGGAAACUACCUUGCUCGAG
rnacentral:rRNA from 1 species